rnacentral:rRNA from 1 species
UACAGAGGGGGCAAGCGUUAUUCGGAAUUAUUGGGCGUAAAGGGCGCGUAGGCGGCUUUGCAAGUGACGGGUGAAAUCCCUCGGCUUAACCGAGGAACUGCCUGUCAAACUGCAUGGCUUGAGACCGGGAGAGGUGAGUGGAAUUCCCAGUGUAGCGGUGAAAUGCGUAGAUAUUGGGAGGAACACCGGUGGCGAAGGCGGGAUCCUGGGCCAGUACUGACGCUGAGGAGCGAAAGCGUGGGGAGCAAACAGG